CUGUCAGUAAAAGGAAGUGCAGACGGUCACUGCUGGAAGAGCCUGGGUUUCGACCUGGGGAAUCUGUCACCAGAGUUGUCAGGGGGUGCCAAUUCCUUCUGCCCACAGGACAGAGGCCCACGGCAUGCCUGGCAUGUAGGGAUGUAUUUGAAAGUGUUACUACUUUACAGCUGUGUUCAGAAACGGCCUCAACACUGAAAUUCUGGAAGAGGAGUGCAGGAUCUCACACCUACGUGUGUGUGAGCGAAUCAUCCUCACAAGUUUUUACUUUUGGCUGAGGAAUUGCCACAAGCCACUGAACUUGGAAUCAAUCCUGGCUCUGCCUUAUGCUAUGUGAGUGACUGUGGGCUGGUCACUUGACCUCUCUGAACCUCAGGAGCUUUGAGACGAAGGUGAUGCGAGUUAAAGUAAAUCGGUUGUAUCUCAAGCCAGGAUUCUUCUCCAGAUUUGACCUCCCUUCCCUGGACUCCUCAGAAGGACUUGGUUCAGGCCAGAGACAAGCUUCUGCAGGGAGGCCUGGGUUGAGGUUCACUGCAGCUCUAAGAGCCUGUCCUGCUCUGGUCGCAGUGGGGGCCCAGGCUCCUGAGCCAGGCGCUGAGAAGCACGUGUGAAUAAGGCAUGUCCGCUGCCUGCAAGAAGCUUCCACCUGGUGACUCUUCAAAAAAAAACCAGUAAAACAAAACAUGCACGUGCAAGACCGUAGCCGCAAAUUCGCAGUCACGCAGAUAUACACCAAAACCAGCACAAUAAAAACAGCGCUAUCUGAGCCAAUAGCUGAAGCC